rnacentral:rRNA from 1 species
UACAGAGGUGGCAAGCGUUGUUCGGAAUUAUUGGGCGUAAAGAGCUCGUAGGCGGUCUGUCGCGUCGGUCGUGAAAACUUGGGGCUUAACCCUGAGCUUGCGGUCGAUACGGGCAUGACUGGAGUUCGGUAGGGGAGACUGGAAUUCCUGGUGUAGCGGUGAAAUGCGCAGAUAUCAGGAGGAACACCGGUGGCGAAGGCGGGUCUCUGGGCCGAUACUGACGCUGAGGAGCGAAAGCGUGGGGAGCGAACAGG